rnacentral:rRNA from 1 species
UACGUAGGGGGCAAGCGUUGUCCGGAAUCAUUGGGCGUAAAGAGCGUGUAGGCGGCUUGGUAAGUCCGCUGUGAAAGUCCAGGGCUCAACCCUGGAACGCCGGUGGAAACUGUCAAGCUUGAGUCCGGAAGAGGCGAGUGGAAUUCCUGGUGUAGCGGUGAAAUGCGCAGAUAUCGGGAAGAACACCCGUGGCGAAGGCGGCGCUCUGGGACGGUACUGACGCUGAGACGCGAAAGCGUGGGGAGCAAACAGG